UACAGAGGUCUCAAGCGUUGUUCGGAUUCAUUGGGCGUAAAGGGUGCGUAGGCGGCGCGGUAAGUCGGGUGUGAAAUCUCGGGGCUUAACUCCGAAACUGCAUUCGAUACUGCCGUGCUUGAGGACUGGAGAGGAGACUGGAAUUUACGGUGUAGCGGUGAAAUGCGUAGAUAUCUGCAGGAACACCCGUGGCGAAAGCGGCGCGCUGGACCACUACUGACGCUGAGGAACGAAAGCUAGGGGAGCAAACAGG
rnacentral:rRNA from 2 species